rnacentral:rRNA from 1 species
GACGAACGCUGGCGGCGUGCUUAACACAUGCAAGUCGAACGGUAAGGCCCUUCGGGGUACACGAGUGGCGAACGGGGGAGUAACACGUGGGUGAUCUGCCCUGCACUUCGGGAUAAGCCUGGGAAACUGGGUCUAAUACCGGAUAGGACCACUGCCUGCAUGGGUGGUGGUGGAAAGCUUUUGCGGUGUGGGAGGGGCCCGCGGACUAUCAGCUUGUUGGUGGGGUGAUGGCCUACCAAGGCGACGACGGGUAGCCGGCCUGAGAGGGUGACCAGCCACACUGGGACUGAGAUACGGCCCAGACUCCUACGGGAGGCAGCAGUGGGGAAUAUUGCACAAUGGGCGCAAGCCUGAUGCAGCGACGCCGCGUGAGGGAUGACGGCCUUCGGGUUGUAAACCUCUUUCAGCACCGACGAAGCGCAAGUGACGGUAGGUGCAGAAGAAGGACCGGCCAACUACGUGCCAGCCGCCGCAGUAA